UUAGAAGCACACAACUCCCUAGAAUAUCAAUAUAUGCUUUAACAUUAAGAUUUGUAUUCAUGGAAAUGACUAAAGUAGUCAAACCUGUUCACUGGAAGCGGAUGAGCGAAUACUUUUGGCAAUAUAGUGUAUGUGUGCCAAUAAAAGUUUAUACCUGUGUAUAUACUUGUAAAUACUACACUUGUUUCUUUUUUUCCCAAACAGACAUGUUCAAAAUUGUCGAAUUUGUUGAGACACAUGAGGUGGAGCUGGUUCCAGCCAUUUGGGUGGAGAAUGGCCAGUGCUAUUGGCCUAAUUCACUGAGGGGUAUGGCCCUUCACCUGGCCAUUAAAAACAAGACACCUCCUAACUGUGACUGGGGAAGUUGGGAAGUCCGAACAAUGUUUUCAACAGGAAGAGUGUUCGAAUUGGCCCACCUGGAGGUUGCUUAAUGGACUCAGAGGAGGAAUCUGGCCCACCCCCCAAGCAACUUCUUCCACCUGCCCCCACUGUAAACCUCCCUGUAGUCAUCCCAAACACCACUUUCACCCCUGUUCCCAUCACCACAUUGCCAGCAGCAGCAGCACCACC
ensembl:lncRNA